rnacentral:rRNA from 1 species
CAGUCGCCGCGGUAAUACGAAGGGGGCUAGCGUUGUUCGGAAUUACUGGGCGUAAAGGGCGCGUAGGCGGCCAUUCAAGUUAGAUGUGAAAGCCCUGGGCUCAACCUAGGAAUUGCAUUUGAUACUGUUUGGCUUGAGUUCGGGAGAGGUGAGUGGAAUUCCCAGUGUAGAGGUGAAAUUCGUAGAUAUUGGGAAGAACACCAGUGGCGAAGGCGGCUCACUGGACCGACACUGACGCUGAGGCGCGAAAGCGUGGGGAGCAAACAGGAUUAGAUACCCCAGUAGUCCCUGUCUCUUAUAC